rnacentral:rRNA from 1 species
CACGUAGGGGGCGAGCGUUGUCCGGAUUUAUUGGGCGUAAAGAGCUCGUAGGCGGUUUGGCAAGUCGGGUGUGAAAUUUCGAGGCUCAACCUCGAAACGCCACUCGAUACUGCCAUGACUGGAGUCCGGUAGAGGAGUGCGGAAUUCCUGGUGUAGCGGUGAAAUGCGCAGAUAUCAGGAGGAACACCGGUGGCGAAGGCGGGUCUCUGGGCAGUAACUGACGCUGAGGAGCGAAAGCGUGGGGAGCGAACAGG